UCCGGGCGGCCUCUGGCGGCGGAGGGGGCACUGCGGCGCGGAGCCGGGAGCGCUAGGGAAGGGGUUCGGCGAAUGGCCCCAAAGAUGCCCAGACCUUGGGAGGCGGCAGUGCCUCUUAACGCGCCCGGAGGCUCCCACAGUGACCCGGAACCGCUGGAACUUCCAGAAAUGCAGGCGAGGUGCACUCCCCAGGGGGUACAACUUUGGAAACGAGGAGAGAGAGGUGCCAUGAACUGGAGACCCAAGAAGGGUGAAGGCACUCCAGGACAGCACUGUGUAAACAGACACCGGAGCCAGAAUGGCGUGGAAGGACACCGCUGGAAGGAGCGUCUAUGGGGCGCUUCAUCCACUCCAGUACCACGGAGUGUGACCAGGAUGACCCUGGUAAAUCAGCCAGACAGUUUUCAGUUGUCAAAGCAGAAGAGAAGCCAGGUGGCAUCAGUGUAACCUGGACUUUGCAGGGCCUGGUGAUGAUGAAAUCUCAGCAUUUCCAAUUAAUCUUGGAAUGAGAGCCCAAGGCAAGAAGCCAGUGGUGCCUGAGGAAUGCUAAAGAGCAAACCGAUCCAGGGAAACAAAUGCCAGCAAGGGACCCCACAGCAAAGAGACAGACACUGUGAGCAUCUCUCCCGUUACCAUGAGGCUUGCGAGGCGUGUGCGCGGGUCUCCGCAUUGGCACCAUCUGCCAAUUCCUCAGGAGGACAGAACAAACCAGCGAGGCAUGAAGAUUAGAUUAUGUAACGCUUGAGGAUUGCUGUUUUCAAAGAGGAAACAAAUGGAACGAAUUGAUUUGCUUGUCAGAGUCAUGUCACUAAAGGAGACCCGUUCCCUCCUCCUCUGAGAGGACCUCAUUAAAGAGGGACACGAUUUCACAGAUUCAGACCAUGUGAGACCACAAUUGACUCCAUUCAUAAGAGCAAGUCUAAUUUCCAGAGUUGCACUGAUAAAUCCCACUCUGCUUGCCUGAAAAAUGACUAUUCAGCUACCUCCUAGGUACCAACACGGCAAGGAAUUUAACUGUUGCCAGUGGCCAGCCACAAGAUUCAGAACCUUUGAGCUUUGCCUGAACUGAACUCACUUGCUUCUGGGGGAGCAGUACCUAAUUUUGAGACCGGUGGGGUCGUGUUUACUAUUCAGAGCUCUAGACAGGUGCUUUGAUAGAGUGGGGAUGUGUUCUUAAAAAUACACGCGUCAGUAACAUUGUAUGGUGACAGAUGGUAAAACUCCACUCAUCUUGGAGAGCACUGAGUAAUGUAUAGAAUUGUUGAAUCACUAUGCGGUUGCACCUAAAACUAAUAUAACAUUGCAUAUCAACUAUA